rnacentral:rRNA from 1 species
UGGGGAAUAUUGCACAAUGGGGGAAACCCUGAUGCAGCGACGCCGCGCGAACGAAGAAGGUAUUCGUAUCGUAAAGUUCUGUCCUAUGGGAAGAUAAUGACAGUACCAUAGAAGAAAGCUCCGGCUAAAUACGUGCCAGCAGCCGCGGUAAUACGUAUGGAGCGAGCGUUGUCCGGAAUUAUUGGGCGUAAAGGGUACGCAGGCGGUUUAAUAAGUCGAAUGUUAAAGAUCGGGGCUCAACCCCGUAAAGCAUUGGAAACUGAUAAACUUGAGUAGUGGAGAGGAAAGUAGAAUUCCUAGUGUAGUGGUGAAAUACGUAGAUAUUAGGAGGAAUACCAGGAGCGAAGGCGACUUUCUGGACACAAACUGACGCUGAGGUACGAAAGCGUGGGGAGCAAACAGG